rnacentral:rRNA from 1 species
GACGAACGCUGGCGGCGUGCUUAACACAUGCAAGUCGAACGCUGAAGCUCAGCUUUUGUUGGGUGGAUGAGUGGCGAACGGGUGAGUAACACGUGAGUAACCUGCCUCCUUCUUUGGGAUAACGCCCGGAAACGGGUGCUAAUACUGGAUAUUCACUGGUCUUCGCAUGGGGGUUGGUGGAAAGGGUUUUUCUGGUGGGGGAUGGGCUCGCGGCCUAUCAGCUUGUUGGUGGGGUGAUGGCCUACCGAGGCUUUGACGGGUAGCCGGCCUGGGAGGGUGACCGGUUGCAUUGGGACUGAGAUACGGCCCAGACUCCUACGGGGGGCAGCAGUGGGGAUUAUUGCACACUGGGCGCAAGCCUGAUGCGGCGACGCCGCGUGAGGGAUGGAGGCCUUCGGGUUGUGUACCUCUUGCGCUCAUGGUCAAGCCGCAACAAUGGUUGUGGUGAGGGUAGUGGGUAAAGAAGCGCCGGCUAACUAC